rnacentral:misc_RNA from 1 species
AGUCCUUGCUCGCUACUUCCCUCCCAACAUCUUAGUUUUGCCCCUCCCUUUCGUAUCUCCUACCACUUCAAUAUGAAAAAUAUUCAAUCAAAGAAAAAAUCAUACCUGGCCACAUGAAUUUGGACCAAUGCUGCAAAGGCUAUGAAAUCCGUAAUCAUUCAGCAUAGAAAACAGACCACCAAACACAAUUUUUAAACUAAAAUCUCUU